rnacentral:lncRNA from 1 species
UCCGGUUUGUUUUGUUUAUUUUUGAUUUUCUCUGCGAAUUCAUAUAUAAUGUUAAACAACUUACAAUAUAAAAUAGUAAAUUAUUGAAGUAUGGAUGUAUAAAAAACAAUACCUUAAAUUCUUCCGUAGUCCAUAAUUCUUCCACGCACUUUUCGAAAGUGAAUCGAUCAAUGUAUGGAGGAAGACUAGCAUACAUCCUUUCAGUUGAUUCAUCAUCAACAAAUGGGUCAAAGUAUUUUUCCUUUAUGUAGUUUCGAUAACGCCUCCAAGUAUUGUUGAGUUUGAAUUUGAUGUAUUGAUGAGCAUUUGGGUAACCGUCUAAAUCAAAAUCAACC